ACAAUCUUCUGAUAACAAUUUGUUAAAAUUGGUCUAUUGCUUGUAAUGUUUUCUUUAGGUAACAUCACCAUAUGGAAACAAUCUUCAUCACAAAGAGAACACAACACAUGGGAGUUUCGCAUUUACGACUCAAGAGACUGGGAACUACCUGGCAUGCUUUUGGGUAGAUGGGGGUAAUCAAGGAGGUCACGAGGUUAGUGUGAACCUUGACUGGAAAAUUGGAAUUGCAGCCAAGGAUUGGGACUCAGUUGCUAAGAAGGAGAAGAUUGAGGUAAGUAGAUAUGGCUUUUGACUUUUACCUCUCGAUAGCUGACAAUUAAUUACUCAAGGCAUAAACUAUAUAAUAUGAAAUGAGCUAAAGCACUGUUUUAAAAUGGUUUUCGAGAACUUCAUAAAGUUUCAGUUUCCUUAAAAAAAAAAUUGCAUUAUAAAAUGGAAUCUUUAGGAAUCACGAGAAAAUUGAUCCUAAUUGGAUUCUUUCAUACUCCUUACGAUAUUAGAGAUGAAAACACAAAGCAAGUUUAAUGUACCCGACAUAAAUAAUGAAGGAUCUUCUUACUGUAUGUUGGAAAAUAUCUCUAUUUAGGGAUAAUAUAAUAUAUUUCCUGCUAUACAAUUUUUUUUAAUAGCUGUGAUAUGAUAAAAAAAUUAUUGAUAUAAUAUCAGUGAUUGUAUAUGAAUAAUUGAUUGUGCCGAGGAAUUCCUCAAGAAAUUUAGUGAACUAUUUAUCCAUCUCAAGACUAUAGUUACUUUCGUGCCAUUCUCUCUUGUGUAACAUGAAAGUAAGGUAGAGAAUCCGCAUCUAUUUAAAUCUAUACUUCUUCUGAUAUUCCGUUUCUAUAUGUGAUUGAUACCUAGGGAGUUGAGCUUGAGCUAAGAAAGCUAGAAGGAGCUGUAGAGGCCAUCCAUGAGAAUUUGCUCUAUCUGAAGGGAAGGUAAUUAUUCCAAUCAUGUCAACAACUUCUAGAAUUAAUCUUUUGCAACUUUUUGGAAAAAAAGACUUCUCUUAUGCGUGUUUAUAUAUUUUGAGCUGUUUGUUCAGGGAAGCAGAGAUGAGGAUCGUGAGUGAAAGAACGAAUGGCAGAGUGGCAUGGUUUAGUAUUAUGUCGUUAGGUAUCUGCAUUGGAGUUUCAGCUUUACAAUUGUGGCAUUUGAAGAGAUUUUUCCAGAAGAAGAAGCUUAUAUAGUUAUGCAAGUGUUAAUUUAAUUUUACUAGUGAAACAACAAUCAUAAACUAAAGUUUUUUUUUUUGAGUCCUACUUACAAGCACCAGCCAGAUUUUUUUUUGUUACCAUACAGAGUUUCCAACUUUUCUUAUCUACUGAUGUUUAUUAUAAUGCAUUUUACCAUGAUCAUUUUGAUAAAUAUGGAGUAGUAUCUAUGAGAAUUCAUGCAGCUCAUAUAGUUUCUUAUAAAUUCAUCUAGUUAUUGUGUUUUCAAUAUCAAGAAUGCGGUUCAUAAUGCUUCUACUGUAAUUUCUUUAAGAUUAUUCUCUUAUUCUAAUUCUUCAAUACAAUACUCUUUUCCUGAAAAGUGGGUGACAACUGAUAACGGGCACUAAAGUUUUCAAAUCAAAAUGUGAACUCAUUUAUAUAUGAAUGCUCUCCAUUUUCUCCCAUUUUAGCCAUAUAAUUGAAAUAUGUAAGGAAAAAAAAUCCAUAACCCAGGCGCUGAGCUUGGACAAUUAAUAUGACAUUUCAUGAAUAAAACAACGUAUUUGCAGCUGAUGUUGUGAACAGAUGCAGCUGCAAUUGCAGUUGUGGGCUACAAUUUAAAACAACGAUUGCCAUACUAAUUUCCUAAUAAGGAUUUGAAUCAAAGUAUAAUCUAUAUACGUCCACCAACAUGAAAAUAACUAACCUUUAUAUUUUAAAACAAAAACAAAAAUUGUUACCUCUAUAUGCCUAGUAUGAUUUGAUGUAUUGAUGAACUGUGUGGAAGCAUCAAGAUUCAAGACAUUCUAUUGAAAAAUAUAUAAGAAAUCAUAUAAGAGAUCAGAGGAAUGAUUCUUUCUUAUUUUAUUUCUGCAGUCCAAGACUGUUUAUAUAUUAAAAAGGAAUUACAAUAAACAUAAUGACAAACUAAUAAUGGCAUAAUAUAUUCUAAUAAUGACCAAUAAUAUCAUUUGACUUUUCUACACCCCCCUCAAGUUGGUCCAUAAAUAUUUGUCAUGCCCAACUUGACUAUAAGUCGCUCAAAAUUAGGCCUUGCCAAGCUCUUUGUCAAGAUAUCAGCAGUUUGCUCAUUUGAAGUCACAUACGGUAGGCAAAUAGUUCCAGAAACAAUUUUCUCUUUUAUGAAGUGGCGGUCAAUCUCAAUGUGCUUGGUUCUAUCAUGUUACACCGGGUUGUGAGCUAUACUUAUUGCUGCUUUGCUGUCACAGAAUAAUUUUAAGGGUAAGUCAACUUUCAACUUUAGUUCUUCCAACAGUUUCUGAAUCCACAAUAGCUCGCAGAUUCCUUGAGCCAUGGCUCUAAAUUCGGCUUCCGCACUACUCCGAGCAACAACACCUUGUUUCUUACUUCUCCAAGUAACUAGAUUUCCCCAGACAUAGGCGCAAUAUCCAGUAGUAGAUUUCCUGUCAAUAACCGAUCCUGCCCAAUCUGCAUCUGUAAAUAUAGAGACAUCUCUGUCAUUGGUUUUCUUGAAGUUUCUGGGGUUGGAUUUCAGGUACCUUAAGAUUCGGUAAACUGCCUCCAGAUGUUCUUCAUAGGGAGAAUGCAUGAAUUGACUGACAACACUCACGGAGAAAGCAAUAUCAGAUCUCGUGUGAGCUAAAUAAAUAAGCUUACCAACUAAUCUCUGGUAUCGUCCAAUGUCAACAGGAACAUUACCUUUCUCCCAGAGUUUUGCAUUUAGUUCCAUAGGAGUAUCUGCUGGUCUACACCCACUCAUCCCAAUUUCCUCCAAGAGGUCUAGGAUGUAUUUUCUCUGAGAAACUACAAUUCCCUUUCUUGAAUGCGCAACCUCCAUACCGAGAAAGUAUUUAAGUGCACCUAAGUCCUUUAUCUCAAAUUCUUUUGCCAAAUUUUUCUUCAAUCUAUCUAUCUCAACUAUGUCAUCUCCUGUGAGAAUGAUAUUAUCCACAUAAACAAUUAGAAUGGCAAUCUUACCAUCAUUGGAAAAUCGCAUGAAUAAGGUAUGAUCUGAUUGAGCCUGCAUAUAUCCUUGUUUUUUGACAGACCAAGUGAAUUUUUCGAACCAAGCCCUUGGAGAUUGCUUGAGACCAUAUAAAGACUUUUGCAAUUUACACACAUUUAACCCAAACUUGUCCUCAAAGCCCGGAGGACUAUCCAUGUAAACUUCUUCCUGCAAAUCACCAUUGAGAAAAGCAUUUUUUACAUCAAGUUGGUUAAGAGGCCAAUCUAAAUUCACUGCCAAGGACAAGGGAACUCUGACAGUGUUUAAUUUGGCAACAGGAGCAAAAGUCUCUGAGUAGUCUAUGCCAUAUGCCUGAGUAAAUCCUUUAGCAACCAAGCGUGCCUUGUACCUUUCAACUGUGUUGUCAGAGUUAUACUUUACCGUAAAGACCCACUUACAACCGACGGUAUUUUUCCCUGCAGGUAAAGUCAUGAUUUUCCAAGUUUUAUUCUUUUCAAGAGCUCUCAUCUCCUCUAGAACAGCUUCCUUCCACUUUGGAAUUUUUAGAGCCUCCUGUACAUUUUUGGGAAUUUCUACAAUAGACAACUGAGAGGUAAACACAGCAAAUGAAGAAGACAAAUUUGAGUAUGACACAAAUUUAGCCAUCAGAUGUUUGGUACACGAUCUAACCGGUUUCCUAAUUGCUAUAGGUAUAUGUAAAUCAGGAUCAUCACUUGUAGUAAUAGAAGAAGACUUACCACGACACUUAGGAAUAGAAGACUUAACAGGAUUUAGAUGAUGAUUAGGAUCAUUUCUUGGUUCAGAUUCUUGGCAGGGCUGGAGAAUGGGUCCUUCAUCUCCCCUUUUAUGGUCCCUUCUUUCAUAGACAUUUCCCUUCCAAAUAGGAUCACUGCUAUUGAACCUGUUUUGUGUUUCUUUAUUUGAGUCAUUUUGUUGUGGCAUUUCAGGCUCUUCCUCAUUACUAUCGAUAUCAAGAAUUUGUUCAUUAUGGUUUUGAUUUGAAAAUGUUGCCCCAUAAUUCGUAGGUACCUCAUUCACAAGCGGAUUGAGUUCCAUUAUCGAUUCUUGGGCAUUUUCUUUUGGUGCACCAAUGUUAGUCUCGGAAUUUUGUGACAACACUACAUCACUUAAAGUAAUAAUAUUUUCAAUAAAAGAAUCUUCCUUCAAGUCCCCCCCUUGAAGAUGAAUGUUAUCAAAAAAGGAUUGAUUCUCAACAAAAGUAACAUCCAUGGUUACAAAAACUUUUUUUGUUUUUGGGUCAAAACACUUAUACCCCUUUUGAGUUGGAGAGUAACCAAUAAAAACACAUUUGAUUGCUCGUGGCUCGAGUUUGCCGAUAUGUUUAUGUUCAUGAACAAAAGCAGUGCAACCAAAAACUCUUAGUGGUAAUUCGGCAGACACGCGUGUCAGAGGAAAAUAUUUUUUGAAAAUAUCAAGAGGGGUUUUGAAAUCUAAAACUUUAGACGGCAUACGAUUAAUUAAAUAUGAAGCAGUCAAAACAGCAUCACCCCACAAAUAUUUUGGAACCUUGUUAGCAAAGAGUAAAGCUCUUGCAAUCUCUAGAAGGUGCCUAUUUUUUCUCUCUGCGAUUCCAUUUUGUUGGGGUGUAUUAACACAAGAACUUUGAUGAAUAACCCCAUUUUCAUGAAAAAAAUCGGACAAAACCAUAUUAAAAUAUUCUGUACCAUUGUCACUUCUGAAGACUUGAACAUUUGUUUGAUAUUGGGUCUGCACCAUUUUAUAGAAGUUUUUAACAAUUUGUCCAACUUCUGAUUUUUCUUUUAACAAAUAAACCCAACAAAUUCUGGUAUGAUCAUCGAUAAAAGUUAUAAACCAUUUUUUAUUUGACAAAGUGCUUAUUUUAUUAGGACCCCAAACAUCACUGUGAAUAACUGCAAAAGGCUUUGAAUGUUUAUAUGGUUGUGUAGAAAAAGAUGAACGAUGAUGUUUAGCAAAUUCACAAGUUUCACAGUGAAAUAAAGUAGGAUCCUUCUUAGAAAAUAAUUUAGGGAACAAGUGUUUCAAAUACGAAAAACUAGGAUGUCCUAGCCUUAAAUGCCAUAACAUAUUGUCAUCAUUAUUAGAAAGAACAAAGCUAGAUUCAAAGCAGGUACUUAUUUGUUGAGGUUGAUCCUUGAAGUCGGGUCCAUUGUCAAGGUAGUAGAGUCCUCCACUCUUUUUAGCACUGCCAAUCAUCUUCCCCGUAAAUCUAAUUAUCAUCAGUGCAUCUCCAAUUAUCAUCAUAGCAUAAAUCUAAUUCCUGCCAUAACGCCAUUAACUCAUUAUAAUAAGUGGUCACAUCCCCCAGAACCUCCACCGCCAGGGCCGCCACCACCAGAACCACCGCUGCCAGUAGUGGUGCUGCCGUUGUUGUUGGUGACAAUCGAUAUGGGGCUGCUACCAUUGUUUACCGUUUCUGAUUCUUGAGUUGGACCGCCACUACUUGUGGUGGUCAUAAAAGCUGUUUUCAGCGUCAGGUCAGGAAUGGUUGUUGUCGUCUUCCAUGGAUUGUGAUGAACCAUUAGAGAGACGAAAAAAAUUGCGAUUUUGAGGGAUCACAAAAGAUUAAGACUUGCAGUUAACUAUUUGCAAGCUGCUAACCCUAAUCGAACCAUAAGGCUCUUGAUACCAUAUUGAAAAACAUAUAAGAAAUCAUAUAAGAGAUUAGAGAAAUGAUUCUUUCUUAUUUUAUUUAUGCGGUCCAAGACUGUUUAUAUAUUAAAAAGGAAUUACAAUAAACAUAAUAAACAUAAUGACAAAUAAUGUCUUAUCAUGACUAAUAAUGGCAUAAUAUAUUCUAAUAAUGACCAAUAAUAUCAUUUGACUUUUCUACACAUUCACAGUAGGAAAUUUUUGCAAUGAGACAAUAUGGCCUGUAAUAACGUGCAAUGAUAACCUCAACACCUAUAUACCUCUAGCAGGAUGGAAUGGUACAUGCCCAUGAAAACCACCUAAUCAGUUUCCGAUUUAAUCCACGAUGAACCUGAUUUUUAUGAUGUUAGUCUUACAGAUGGCUUCAAUUUACCUAUAGCAAUAGAAGCUAUUAAAUGGAAGUGUGGUAAUUGUGGCAGUGUUGGUUGUGAAGAUGAUUUGAGGCAUUGUUGUCCAUCAAAGUUAGUUAUGGGGUCUGUUUGGAUUGGCUUAUUUGAGCUAAUCUACUGGCAUAAGUUUUGUGAGACUGUUUGGGAGAACUUACAAAAACAGCUUUUGACAAUUUUCAAAAGCUUUUUACAACUUAUUUUAUUAGUUCUCUAAUAUAGUUCAGAAAAACAACUUAUAGCAUAAACAAAUUUUUUAUUUUAUCUUUUGCUAGAGAAAUAGCUUAAGAAAGCUUAUCCGUAAGCGUUUAUCAUGAUAAGCGCUUGUGCUAUAAGCUGCAAAUAAAUUGUUUACCCAAACAGACCCUUAAAUGCAAAUGAUGAAGUUGUUGCUUGUUGCAUGUGGUCCUUCGCCCAGUACUGAUGAAUAUUGUUGCAGAGGGAGUUAUGAAAACCCUCUACAUUUUAAACAUGUCCUACAACAUGUAGUUUUGCCCACGAUGAUGCAUCAGGUUUAGAAACAUGCUUAGGUGCAAACUUUGUUGUCAUGUUCUGGGGAUCAAGGUUUUUUUUCUUUCUUUACAAACAAUUUCUUUCAAAAAUUGGAAACACAAGCAUAGUGGAAUUAUUAAUAUUAAUCAUAAUCAUCACUAUGUAAAAUUUAUCCCUCACAGUCAUCGUCUACGAAGCAUUUACACAAACACGGAUACAAGACACAACACUCAUAAUAUUUUAUAUGAAUGCAUUCUUCUCAUGUCUGUGUCACUGUGUGGUGUUAUACUAGGUAGACAAACACAGAAUAUAGACAGUUGUUAUCCGUUAUAGAUAGUUGAUAUUUAAGACGAACAUUCUUUAUUCAAAAUCAUCAACAUUCAGGAUACAAUUUUUGUCUAUUAUAUUUCUGAAGACAAUAACAGAGCAAACAAAGAGCUUGAUUACAUGGGAGGUUGUUGAGUGUGAAGCUUCCUCUGCAGUUUAUUAAGUGUGACAACGACAGUGACAUAGAUCUUAUCAUUCAAGUUGCUUAGAAAACGGAAAUAAGCAUGUCGCCAAGAUGCAAUGAGUAUUAAUGAGCCCCAAAAUACCCAAAAUCCAGUUGAAAAUCCCAUAGCCAUGCUUAUGUAUAAUGGAUUUAUUUCCAUUCCCAAUACUUUGUCUUCAUGGUUGUCAUCACUUUCAUGUUCUAUGCUCCCUUCAAUGUCACUGCAAUGUUUGUCCUUGAACCAGCUGUUUCCAUCUUCUAGGCAUGCUUUUGUGAGUGGAGAACCACAAAGGUGUGGAUUACCUUGGAAUGAGGAUUCGUCAAAUGUUUCCAUCUGAAUGCCGAUAGGGAUAUUCCCAGACAAAGUGUUGUAUGAUAAGUUCAAAACACCGAGAGAACAAAGAUUAACCAUGCUAGUGGGAAUGGCACAUGAUAACUGAUUACUCGACAAAUCCAACCAUUCCAAGCUUUCCAUUUCACCAAUAUUGGAAGGAAUGGAACCCACCAAUUGGUUACUCGACAAAUUUAAUCCCACCAAUUCAACUAGCUUUCCAAUUUCAGCAGGAAUGCCUUCUUUUAAAAAAUUUGAUGACAAGUCAAUAAUUUUUAUAUAUCCAAACAUACGUCCACCUCUAUGGAAAGACCGAUCAGCUCCUUUCCAUGAAAUUAGAAGUGGGUGCUUUGAUCUAGAUAGAUAGAUCGAAAGACUUUCCUCAAUUGUAAGAAACUCCAUAUAGGACUUUUCAUUUACACUUUCUUCGGUAGCCAUUGCAGGGAAGACACAUCUUGGAAUUGGUCCCGUCAAUUGAUUGUCAGAAAGAUCUAAUAUAUGUAGAGACUUAAGUAGGCAUAAAUUUGUUGGGAUAUUUUCAUCAAAGGAAUUCCUUCCCAAUAUAAGUGCCUCUAGGAUUUGCAUGUCUGUACCAAUCCAAUAUGGUAUGGGCCCCCUUAAUCGAUUCGACUGUAAAUCCAAUAAAGUCAUCACUUGACAAUUUUUUAGUGUCUCUGGAAUUCCUCCAGAGAGAUUAUUGUUGUACAUUAUCAACAUGUGGAGAUUUAUGAGGUUACCAAAGGAAUCUGGAAUUGAUUCAGUAAAAUUGUUUUUCGCCAGAUUCAGAAUAAUCAUGUUCGUCCCAUUUGUCCAACAAUUUGGGAUGACUCCUGACAAAUUAUUAAAAGAUAAGUCAAGAGUCUCCAAUGAGUUAUUGAAACACAAAAUCUCACAUACAUGUGAAAUUGUUCCAUAAAAUAAAUUGUUGGACAAAUCCAAAUGUCUCGAGUUAGGAGGCAAACGAGGCAAGGCACAUGAGAAAUUAUUGUUGCUCAAAUCAAGUGUUUUAAGUUUGAAUUUUUGUGAAAAAUCAUGUCCACAACUUCUCAGCCCAUUGUAAGAGAGGUUCAUAUGCUCAACACUAGGCAACAAAUCCCAAAACCAAUUUGGUACAAUAUCAAAGACACCUGCAUUUGAUAUAUCAAUAUGGGAAAAAUUCUUCUGCGUUUGAAUCCAUUUUGGAAAUUGAGGGCCCAAAUGACAUUUCGCCAAACCUAUAUUUUCAAGUUGGAAAGGAGGGAUCCAAUUUUUGCUCAUGUUCAAAGUUACAUCAUUAAAAGAUAGGUCCAACACUUUGAGGUUGCUAAAGUUUGCAAGAUGAACAUCACUGAUAAUUCCCUCCAUAUUGUUUACAGCUAAGUUCAACACAACCAAACUUGAUAACUGGUGAAUGCUUCUUUCCAAUGAUCCGUUUAGUUGAUUAAUAGAAAGAUGCAAUUCUUUCAAAUUAUUUAGGCCAUGAUCUUGUCCCAAUGUGGAAGGUAUUGAGCCACUGAGCAUAUUAUAUGAUAGAUCAAGUGCUACAAGAUUCACUAGCCAGUCAAAGAAAUUUGGUAUUGAACCAAUGAGACUAUUUUUUGACAGAUCAAGUAUUUCAAGAGUUGUUAAUCUCACAAUUGAAUAUGGUAUAAGACCUUGUAAAUUAUUCAAUGAGAGAUUAAGAUUUUGAAGGUGAUGACACUUUUCAAACAACCAAUCAGGGGUACUAUUGAAAUAAUUGAUAGACAGAUCAAGAGUUACAAGAGAAUCAAAAUUCACUUCAGGUGGAGGAGAUGUAGGUAGUUUGUGAAGUUGGCAACCCGAUAAACGCAAUGUUUCAAGAGAAUGAAGUAUUGCUCUUAUAUCAUGAAACCAAUCAUUUUCACAACUACUAAGAUCAACACCACUUAAAUCGAGAAUUUUCAUGGAAGAAAGUCCUUGAAGCCAUUUUAGAUUAUUGACAUAGAAAGCAUUGCCACUCAAAUCAAGUGAUUCAAGUAGAGACAGGUUUACAAGAUUAUCAGAGAGGUUGCCCUUAAAAUUGGCAUGAGAUAGGUCAAGAUGUUUUAAAUUUUGCAUAUUACCAAGAAAGUCAGGCACUCUAGAUUGCAUGAAAUCAUUGCCAGUUAGGUUCAAAUAACUUAAAUAUGGCAAUUGUAGCAAUGCUGAACUUACAUGACCCUGAAGUUUAUCUAAGGAAUUAGAGCAAUAGAGAUCAAGGGAAAUAACAUGACCUGUGGUUGUGUUACAUCCUACUCCUUUCCAAUGGCAACAAUCAUUUCCAUGUUUCCAUGAAGAUAGAACAUUUGAAGGGUCUUUCAAGCCUUCCUUGAACUCAAGAAGAGCCUCUGCUUCACUUGCUAUGAACUGAGAGUUUAACCCUCCGUUGCAUUGAACAAUUCCCUGCAUUAGAAGGCAUAGAAUUGCAAUAAAUUGAAGGAAACCGGUAUUCACCAUCAUUUUGAUUCUUAUGGUUCUCAAUUCUUACUCUUUCUUAAUUUUUAGUGAAUGGGAACACCAGUACUUAUAUUCACCAUCACUGAAUAUUAUAUUCUUACUUAUUGUUGGUAUUAUUAUUUAGGAUUUUUCUAUCAUGUGCAAAUAUCAUGUGCAAAUUUGCACAUGUUAAGAAGUUUAAAAUAGAAACUUUGUAUUGAAACUUGCACAUUUAAUAUUAAAUAUAAAACUUUUGAAUAUAUAAUUGUUGUUUUCCAAGAAAAAGUUACUACUAUUAGUUGUCUUAACAUGUACAAUGUUGCACAUGUUAGACAAACCCUAUUAUUUAUACUCCCUCCGUCUCACAAUAAUUAUCUCUUUACCCAUUUUUCUUUUUCUCAAAAUAAUUGUUACUUUAGAAUAUCAAUGCAUAAUUUAUUAUUUUUUUCAUUAUUAUACCCUUAUUUAUUGAAUUUCAUUAGUAAAACUUGUAAAAAAAAAAGGUGUUUUAGUAAAUGAUAUUAAUUUUACCAUCAAAAUCAACACAAUUAAUCAUUUCCUUAAUAAUCGUGCAUAAACCUUAAACGACUAUUAUUUAAAUAUUGAGGAUGAGGAGUAAAAGAGUUACUUCUUGGCGGUUACAUUCACUUGUCUGUCGGUUCAUUCUUAUCAAAUGAAGGUCAUGACUAUCUUCCAUCAUUAUAAAAAUUAAGUUUAUGUUUGUGAACAAAAAUCUAUCAUUUAGUAUUGUUGUUUUUUAUUUUAAUUACUACAUUUUUAAUUAAAUAUGAAAAUUAGAACUAGUUUAAAUUUAAUUUGUUAAGAUUGAUAGAAAGUUUAAAAUUGAUUUGGUUUAAAAUUUAAUUACUAUUAUAUCAAAUUUGAUUUAAUUAAAAUUGAAAAUCAGGAUUAAAAGUCAUUGAAGUCAACACCGUCAACAUUGUUUAGCUCUAGUAAGUUUCAUCCUUAAUUCCCUCCUUAGUCUCCUGCAUCUAUACUGUAACAUCAUAUUGUCCCAUUUUUCAACAAAGUCUCUUGUCUUUUGCAAAAGAAAUGACAAUAAUAAAAAUCUUUUGGGAAGUCAAGAAUAAUUUGAUAUCUUUUAUUUAUUUAUUAUGAAAAGCAAGAUUUAGUUGAUCUUGACUUUGAAUGAAUGUUCUUCAGCCAUGGAAUCUAUAUUUAUUCAAAUUUUGCUGUUUCCGGGAAAAGCAUAAUAACAAAUAAUUGAUUUCCAGCAAAAUAACGAAGAAAUUCACUGCAGUACGUGUCUUUCACUCUUAAAAGUUAAAAAAUGAAUUUGGAAAGAAAAACUUUAUUAAAGUUGGUCAGUAAAUUCACUCACAUCAGUGGUUGAUUGGUGUUCAUUUUGACAGAGGAGCAAAAAAUUGAGAAAGUUUUAUGAAAAUGUGAUCUUGUAAUGCUCCAUACAACUUUAAGUAUUGUCAAUUGACCACACAAACCAACAUAAGUCUUCAAACACGUUUAACUAUGAGUUUCUUAUGGCAUAGGCGAUCGAAAAAAUUAUGCAUCUUGUUGAUAUAAGUAGCACCAAUCAAUUCUUAUAAGUCAUCCUUCAACCAUACAGUUUCAUACGACCUAUAAUCCCUCUUAUUAUGAUGUGAAUUCGGUUCAUUCAUGUGUCUUUUUUGCUUAGAAGCUGUCCGGAACCACUCAUUGUCUAUGCCUUGUGCAACGUCGAUCAAUCCCUGUCCUCGUCAGCCUCAGACGUCACAUACCCGCCAGUUUAUGCUUGGUUUACCCCUGAACCACAAUGUCAAUAUUGAUUGCAUUAGACAGGUCUGCGAAAUAAGCAAAUGACAUAACUGCUUUGUCAGCAAACUGUUAAUUAGAUUCCCUUCUAUCUAACUGAUCAGGAUUUAGGAGUAUAGAUCAUAUGGAGUAGUAUAUAUGAGAGUUCAUGCAGCUCAUAUAGUUUCUUAUAAGUUCAUCUUGUAAUUCUGUUUUCAAUAACAAGAAUGCAGUUCAUAAUGCUUCUACUCUAAUUUCUCUAAGAUAAUUCUCCUAUCCUAGUUCUUCAAUACUCUCUAUUCAUGAAUACUGACCAUGGGCACCAAAGUUUUCAAAUCAAAAUGUGAACUCAUUUUUACAUAAAUGCUCUCCAUUUUCUCAUAUUUUUAUCCAGAUAAUUGAAAUAAGGAAGGGAGAAAAUGCAUAACCCAUUUCAAGAAUAAAACCACGCAUUUGCAGCUGAUAUUUUGAAAAGAUGCAGCUGCAAUUGCAGUCGUGGACUACAAUUUAAAACCACGGUUGCCAUGCUAAACUUUCCUAAUAAGGAUUUGAAUCAAAUUCUAAUUUAUAUAUGUCCUCCAAUAUUAAAACAAUCUUUAUAUUUUAAAACAAAAAUAGAAGUUGUUACUUCUAUAUGACUAGUAUGAUUUGAUGUAUGGAUGAAUGAACUGUGUAGAAGCAUCAAGAUUCAAGACAUUUACGGUAGGAAAUUUUUGCAAAAUAUGGUCUGUAAUAACGCGGAAUGAUAACCUCAACACCUAUGGAUUCACAUUUUGACAGUCAGCAGUAUAUACUGCUCCAGCAGGAUGGAAUGGCAGAAUAUGAGAUAGACCGACCAUACUGCAUAUUUGAUACACUAACGCAAAAUAUAGAUAGUUAUUAUCAGUUAUAGAUAGUUGAUAGAGUUGUGUUAUUUGAACAUCCAUUUGUUUGACAACUUAUGCGACAACCAUAUUUUUACAAAGAAAUAUAUGUAUUAACACGAAAACCAAAACAAUGGAAAAGGAGAAAAUAAAAAUAUAAUGUGAGUAUAAGAGAGAUAGUUGUCACAAAAGUUGUAAUAAAAUUGUUUUACAAAUAUCAUUUCUCUAGUUGAUAUUUAAGACAAACAUUCUUUAUUCAAAAUCAUCAACACAUACAAAUUUUGUCUCUUAUAUUUCUUAACACAAUAACAGAGCAAAUACAGAGUUUGGUUACAUGGAGGUUGUUGAGUGUGAAACUUCCUCCGCAAUUUAUUAAACGUGACAACAACAGUGACAUAGAUCUUAUCGUUCAUGUUGCUUAGAAAACAGAAAUAAGCAUGUCUCCAAGAUGCAAUGAGUAUUAAAGAUCCCCAAAAUACCCAAAAUGCAGUUGAAAAGCCUGUUGGUGUAAGCCCUAAGGCCAAUAGUUUAUGUUAAAUUUAUCUUAUGUAUCAUGACUUUUAUUAUUGAAUAAUAUAUGAUACUCUUUAUUAUAUUUAUAGUAAUGUUAAUAAAGUCCCUAGAAUAGAUAGUUCAUGUAAUAAUAUAUUAUGUGUGACUUAAUCAUGAGAUUACAUUAUCAUAAAGAACGUUGUUCUUAAAUGUAUCCGUAGUCAAGCUUUAAUAUGAAUUAGGAUAAUGUGAGACUAUCAUGUAUGUAGAUUGAUGACCGCAUCUCAUGGGUCAUAGAUAUGAGAUAUUAAGUCUAUACAUAGGUAUAAAUAUUAGGAGUAAUAUUUAUACUGGAUUUACCCACCGUAAGUUAUGAGAUUGUCAUAAGAUAUUCUUGCAAUGAUAAUAGUGUAUAUUGCUCUUAGACCUGAAACCACUAUGAUCCCUAGAUGUGGACUCAAGUGCUUUGUUGCCAUUCUAACGUUAUAUGUAAAAGGGUAACAAUAACGUUGGUUGAUGGGUACUUGAUGAAUCAUGCUGAUUGAUCAUAAUUCUUGUUUUUUCUAUUUCUAUUGUUCUGAUUUGUUUGGUUUCUAGGGUUAUUUUUUUGUUGACAUUGUUCUCAAUUUUGAUCAAUUGAUGGGUUGAUUUGUUGAAUAAUGGAUUAGUAUGAUAUGAUUUACUAUUUAGUUGACGUAAUUAGUAAUAUGGAGUAUAAAACUAAAAUUACUUAUCAGAUUUAGCAUUGAUUUUGCAUGAUUAGUUGAUGAUCAUAAAAUGGAAGAGAUGAUUUGAUUUUUUUUUUGGCCUAAUUGCUUAUUUUAAAUGAUAGAAUUGGAAUGUGUUGUCCUAAUUUCUUUUGUUGAUCAACAAUUUUUUUGUGAUAUUUUACAUGAAUGCAUUCUUAAUUGUCUGUGGUGUUAUAGUAAUUUGACCUAUUUUGUUUUGUUUUUGCAUAUAUUAAUCGAUGAGCGAAAUUUUCUUUUGUUAUAUGUCUAUUUCUGGAGCCUGAGCAGUGUAGGUUUGAUCGGUUAUGUGCAUGAUAUCCAUAAAUUGAUCUUUACUCUGUAUUCUUUGCUGUUGAGUUUAGUCUUUUGAGGGGACGGGUAAUUUUUUUUUUCUUCCUGUAGUUGUUUUGAUUGUAGAAAAUGGAAACAUCACAAAAUAUAUCAUUCACAUACACGUGGAUUCGAUUUAGUUACACAUUGGUUUUGAGAGCAAUAUCCUUUGUGUGCUGAGUGUUACCAUACGAAAAUGGAAAAUCGUUCGUUUAUCUUAGUUAGGCAUGAAUCACUUUCAUGAUAACUUCAAAUGAAAAUGUCAUAGUGGAGCUUUAAUUACAAUCUUCUGAUCCUCUUAAAAAAAAAUUACAAUCUUCUGAUAACAAUUUGUUAAAAUGGUCUAUUACUUGUAAUGUUUUCUUUAGGUAACAUCACCAUAUGGAAACAAUCUUCAUCACAAAGAAAACACAACACAUGGGAGUUUCGCAUUUACGACUCAAGAGACCGGGAAUUACCUGGCAUGCUUUUGGGUAGAUGGGGGUAAUCAAGGAGGUCACGAGGUUAGUGUGAACCUUGACUGGAAAAUUGGAAUUGCAGCCAAGGAUUGGGACUCAGUUGCUAAGAAGGAGAAGAUUGAGG
rnacentral:lncRNA from 1 species